AGAGAAGAAGAAACGAUCUGAGAGAAAAGAAGCAUGAAAAGGGCUAAGACGAAAGGUUAAAAGUUUAAGAAGAUAAGAUAAAUAAGAAGAAAGAAGAAAACCCAGGCUAAUUCCUCUCUCGGUACUCAGCCAACGAGGUGGAAGUUGAAUUAGUGAGGAUGACUCCUGCUCCUGUCAUCUCUAAGCUCCUCACACAUCUUUACCUGCACAUGAGGAAAAUCACUCCUGUAGAAUGCAGAUGUUCAGAGGGAGAUGAUGCCACAUCUGGUCCAGCUGAUGGAAGGUCUUGAAGUUCUCUGACUGGCCUCAACUGAAGAUGGUCGUCUCACUGGAUUUAAGGUUCAGAUGCUCAGUAACAAACUCCACCAAUGAGCCAACAGGAAGCUUUAGGUUUUUUAAAUGUUGCUAUGAAGGUAUCGCUGUUUUUCUUUGUGAAUGCAAUGUGCUCCAACUGAAACUUGAAUUAGAACUUAGAAGUAUAUCCUUCCAUCUGAAAGGAUUUAGUUGCAUUAAUAACCUCAUAACAUUCUCAUUUUUAUUCCAGUCUUGGUUGGAAAUAGAAUCUCUGUAUUGAUUCAGGUAAAAACUGAACUUCACAACAUGUUGGAGCAAAACAACCAGAUGAAAACAGUGAUGGUGUUGGAUUGUCAGUAGAGCUGGGCGAUAAAUCGAUUUUAUCGAUUAAUUCGACUUUGUACUUAAUGUCGAUUUGUUUUAAUGAAAAUCGAUUUUCUCAUCAGCAUUCGCCACCAAUGCCUGCCUGCUGGGCUCCCGUAGUUCAGAAUGCGCGCCCCCCUCCCCCCCGCACUUGAUACACAAACAACAUGGCGGCGAGCGGUGCAGAUCUAAAGGCGUGCGUCCACUAGAUGCAAUUUCACCGCAUCUGACGGAUGGUCACUAGCGGACCACAACAUGGUCACAUGACAGCGCUGAGCAACAGCAGGCCGCUACGUGGUAAGUGACCGAGCUUUCAGCUGGACAGUCCUGCAGACAAGUCGGAUAAACACAGCGGCUCGGCCGCAAAUUUUCCCUUUUAUUUCAAACAACACGUCAGCAAAAACUAUUUCUAAAAGCAUUUGAGGCGAGAAAUAAUCUGUGCAGCAGCGGAAUCUGUCCUCAUUUUAAGUCACCGACGCCUAGUUUACAAGUUUGAGGACAGUUUCACGAUGCGUGGAAUCUCCGCACGCCACAUCCAAUUUGCAUAAAGUAGAAGUCAGUCUACUUUAUGCAAAUAAGCUGCAGCCCUCUCUGUGUAAACAUGCCGGAUCGCAGCGGGAAACGCACCGCAACAGGACCAGCAUGCCACAUGCGGCGCAUUUCCAGCUGCGAUCCAGUGUGUUUACAUGGAGCGGGCUGCAGCUCAUUUGCAUAAAGUAGACUGGACUCCGGCGUGCGGAGAUUAGGUAGGGGGUAAAAAAAAUUGGGUGAAUCGGGACUUUUUUGUGAAAAAAUCAGAUAUUUUUUAGGCCAUAUUGCCCAGACCUAAUCGUCAGGCCGUAAUGUUGCAGCUCAAAGCAGCUUUUCUAGCUCAGUUCAUUCUGACAUUCAGCUAUGAAUCAACACAGCAGAUGGUGAUCCAUGCUGUGGAAGUCUCACAUCUCCUGAUUUAAUGGAGCUGCUUUGCACUUUUUACACUGUUUAUUCACCAACACUUUAUUUAAUAAAAGUCCCAUCUAGUUUUUAUGAGGAAUGUGAUGUUUUAAUUUCUCUGUGAAUAACUGCAGUCUAAUGGAACAGCUGGAGUUGUAACAUCUGUCCUGAUAUUGAUCAUGAAGUAUUGAUCAGACUGUUUAUGGUCAGCAGUCAUCCCUGAAGUUUUACAUUAAAAUCUUUACUUGUGUUGUGAACUUUGGUAAGAAGCAGAAACGUUAGCGUUGCCAUGAAUAUAUGAGUGUUAAAUUCUGUCCAUGUUUCCAUUUUGGGAAAUUCAGUCCAGCAGAUGAGUUUGUUUUUCCCGCCAGCUACCAUUCAGUCUGAGAUAUUAAGAAUAAAUAAAUGUGCAUAAUGUGGAAAUGAAUAGAUUCUAUUUUGAUUUAUACCUACAGCUGCUGCAGGUAACAUGACAGAAUGUGGAGGAAUUUAGUCUCACAAUCACAGACAAAUAUUAUCUGAAAGUCAGGUUAUUGUUGCUUAUCAACACAAUACAAAAAGAUUAAUGUUAGACAUAUUCCAGUUAAGACUCUAGAAUAUCAUGAUUUAUAUAAAUUUACCUCAAUAAUAUGAAUGUUCAGGUUAAGAUUGUGCAGUGAUAUUUAUUAUGUAAGUUUAGCUGAUUAAAGUUUAUGACUGCACUAAAAUAUUAUUUAAUUUGACAUCAUUAUUGUAAUAUUUAGGGUCAGACCCUACAGUAUUGAGAUUAAGAAAUCAAAUAUUCUAUAAAAUAUAAAUAAACUGAACUCAUUUGGAUAUAUUUAAGUGAGACUCUACAAUAUUAAUUGACACAAAUCUAUCUAAAUCAAAAUUUUAAUCAUUUUUACUCCAGACAUUUACUGGACUGAUUUAAACAUUAAAUUCAUUCCUUUCUAAUCCUCUGCUGUACGUUCAAACCUGAGGCCUUAAAUGGAAACACACAAGUAUUUUAUUGAAGGAACUUCUGCAGAGUCCUGGUUCCAGAACAUGAUGAUAGAAUUAUAGACAAACUUUAACAAAAGCUGUCUGAGAGUUUACAGGUUUUUAUGUUGGAUUUCUUCAGUAAUUUAAUGAGCGUUAUCAGCAAUAAUCAAGUGUUCAUUUGAUGAACUUCAUUUACUAAAACAUCCAGAAUUGGAGCUCAUAUCUUUGGCAGCUGUAAAGUUUCUCUCUUUCAAAGUUCACAACACAAGUGAAUUAUUUCCUAAAACACUCUCAAUGCUGGAGAGCGUUUGUGAUGCUGAAGCAGUGAUCAGUUUUUCUGUUUCUUCUCUGGAGAUGCACAAUGAGGGACGUCUGCAGAGACUGAGAAAGAGUCUCGCCACAUCCUGACAUGAGGAAAAAGACUUUAUUGAAGACUACAAUGAGAAAAACUAUCAGACAGCAGAUGGCUGCAUUCAAGUCUGUAGCUGCUGAAUUCAUGGAUGAAUCAUCUGGCACUAGAGAAGAAGACCAUCAAACAUCCACGUCAGCUGAUGGAGGUCCAAGAGUCUCACCGAACAACCAACCUACAGAGUGAAGACCUCAAAUCUGAUUGGACGGCCUCCUAUUCAGCCACAUGUGUGAACAAAUGCCUCUAAGCUGAUUUGUUUUCUAAAAUAAAUCUAGUUUGAGUCCUAA